GCGUGACCUCACUUACUUUAAACUCUAUUGGGUAAUCAAUGAAUUUUACGGCAGAGAAAAUAAAAUAGAGAUUUUUGCCAAAAACACUAAAAAAGAGCAAAGGCUCCAAGCCCCGCGGCUAUCUAUCUCUAAUCAAAUUCAACAGCCUCACUCAUUCCCCAUGAAAAGAUCUGCAAACAAAAGAAAACCUACUACAGAGAAAGCCCAGAAGCCCGAAGGAGCAGUUAAGUAAUAAAGAUCGGUCCUUUACUCUUCCUCCCAUGCCACAAGAGUCAAGGAGAACAAUUCAGUUCUACUGGAUCACAAUGCCCGCUCUCUCUCUUUCUCUCGGUCGCUCGCAGAGUUGCAAGCUUGCAGUGCCAGAGAAAGAGAAGCGGGUUCAAGCGCGAGAAAGAUUUAUGGCGUUUGGAGACGGAAUGGUGAAGAGAGCUGUUUUUUGGUAUUCAAUGAAUAUAUGUAUGUGAAAUGGGUAAUAUUAAAAUUUGGAGUGUGAAAUUGGUAAAUAUUAAAGUUUGUUGUGUUGGGGAUGUAAAAACCCCACAAAUAAUGUUAAUAGUUUUUAGUGUGAAUGUGUAUCCUGUUUUUGAAAAAAUAUUGCGUCCACACCGACGGCCAACCACCGACCGCCGCCACUCGGUCCGCCCCAAAGAGGUAUAUGACGGAGUGGCGUGACCAAUGGCUUCACUUUCGUUUUCCUGAAGCUUGUUAGAUGUGGAUUGGGAGGAGGGCUGAGUGGAGGAAGAAGUGGGAUGAAGAGUUAAUCCAGCUGUCUAAGGGUUGGGAAAAGGAGAAUAGGAAGAUUGCAACCGAGGAAACAGUAUAAUGCAACCAAAAUCUCACAGGUAACCAACUUUCUUAUUUGUUGUUGACUAAGCACUCUAUCUGGGGAUAUGGGAUGGGCCACUUAAUUUUAUUAUCAUAUUGCCUGUCAUUGCUAUGCACCGACAGCAAUCCAUUCAGGGAGCUCUAACAUAUUUGUAUCAGUUUGCUUGUUGGAUGGCAAACUCAUCUACUACCUACUUCUAUGGAAAACCAUUUCUUCUCACAUACUCCAACUAUGUUGUUUAAUAUUACUUUGGAUUAUUUUUUUCUUUUUU